UACGUAGGGGGCUAGCGUUGUCCGGAAUCAUUGGGCGUAAAGAGCGUGUAGGCGGCCCGGUAAGUCCGCUGUAAAAGUCAAAGGCUCAACCUUUGAAUGGCAGUGGAUACUGCCGGGCUAGAGUCCGGAAGAGGCGAGUGGAACUCCUGGUGUAGCGGUGGAAUGCGCAGAUAUCAGGAAGAACACCAGCGGCGAAGGCAGCUCGCUGGGACGGUACUGACGCUGAGACGCGAAAGCGUGGGGAGCGAACAGG
rnacentral:rRNA from 1 species